UUGCAGGGGGUGGUAAUUAUGUUUUUAUUUAUUUUAUUUUUAUAAGAAGUUCUGGGGAUUGAACCCAGGCCCUUGUGCAUGCUAAGAAUAUGAUCUUUCACUUGAGCUAUACCCCCCUAAAUUAUCUUUAAUAAGGUCUUUUUCUCUGUUUUGUUAUUUUCUUUUAUGUACAGAUGCACAAAGCAGGGUCAUCAGAAGCCUCUCAAUUCCAAAGAUGAUUAUAGUGAAAAACAUUGCACAGUGACAGUGAAUCCUUGGAAUAUGAAGAAAGAUUGUAAAGUCCUGAAUGAAUUAAGAAGGAAUUGUUACAUUAACUUACAUAGAAAACUUGAGCCUAUGAAUCUAAACUCAUCUGUGAUGGUCUGCAGCUGGGAGCAAGCAGAUCAGUGUCAGUCCCUUUGCAGCCGUUGGCUGGGAGCCUGCAUGUUCCCUGGAAUGAUAUUUGAAACAUGUCACCCUAGCCGUGCCUUUGCUCUGGACUGGGAGGCGAGUCAGUCAGAAUCUGCAUUAUGGAAUGUUUUGGAUGACAAGCUUGUAUUUGCAAAUGUACACACCCUGUGGGAGGUGCUCUGUACAUACGCUGAGAUACUGUACAUAAAAUUGCCUCUGAAUCCCAAUCAUCUGAAAACCGUGUCCUCAGCCUUUGAUACCUUCAGCUGUUUUAUGAAAGUCCUCCAAGUGGAUGAAAGUAUCAACAACCGGAACAAGAGUUUUUCAUUGCCCUAUUUGAGAAGAGCUGCGUGAACGACUUUUAUAUUCAGGAUAGAGAUACAUUCAUCAAUCCAACC